rnacentral:rRNA from 1 species
CCGUUGCCAGCCCGCUCAGAAACUCAAAGGAAUUGACGGGGCCCGCACAAGCGGAGGAGCAUGUGGUUAAUUCGAUGAUACGCGAGGAACCUUACCUGGGCUCGAACGUAAGAUGACUAUAGGUGAAAGCUUACAUCUCUUCGGAGCAUUUUACGAGGUGCUGCAUGGUUGUCGUCAGCUCGUGCCGUGAGGUGUCGGGUUAAGUCCCAUAACGAGCGCAACCCCUACCUUUAGUUGCCAUCAGGUAAUGCUGGGGACUCUAAAGGAACUGCCUACGCAAGUAGUGAGGAAGGCGGGGAUGACGUCAAAUCAGCACGGCCCUUACGUCCAGGGCUACACACGUGCUACAAUGGCCGAUACAGAGGGCAGCUACCUGGUGACAGGAUGCAAAUCUCCAAAGUCGGUCUCAGUUCGGAUCGGAGUCUGCAACCCGACUCCGUGAAGUUGGAUUCGCUAGUAAUCGCGCAUCAGCCAUGGCGCGGUGAAUACGUUCCCGGGCCUU